UAAGAAAGCAGCAGCUUUUUCUAGACGGCUCUUCCUCAUGAUUUGCAUUUUAGCCAGAGGCGACCAGUUAUAAAAAAAACAUGAUGGAAAGAUGGUAAGAAGCCAAUUAGAUGGAUGGAUGGCUGACUGACAGCUCUCUGGUAUUACGACUCCAGAUUUCAGACUACAUAGCCUGGCAGUUUUCUACAAGAACCAACUUUUUGCAGAAGGUCAUACAUAUGCUAUUGGAGAGUUCACAGCUAGCCCCUCACUACUCAGAUUGUGGGUGUUAUUGCCAGACUGCGGAGAUGCACAAGAAUUGACUUGAGAAGCAAGGAGAUUAUUCAUGCUCCUGCACACUCUGUUAUCUCUGGGAGCUCUUAAUCAAUGCAGGAUAUCCGGGUCAGAGCAGAUAAAAUUCAAGCCGCCAUGAACAUGCUGUGCUUUGCUGUGCUUCAUGGGAGAACUUCCAAACCACCUUUAUUCAGAACAGCAAAAUGCCUGUGGUUUAGGCUCAUCAACCAUUGUCUGUCUUUCUGCUCUUCUCUCUCUAGAGAUAGUAGAGAAAGCUAGGCUGCCACAUAAACACUUCAACUUCAGGGAAAUUGGAAGCUAUGAAGUACUUCAAGCAUUACAAAUUCACCCCUUCUGUCUUGUUUUUCUAUCUCCCUUCUUUUUUCCCUCCUUUAUUGUCAUCUGUCUUCAAAUUUAAAUCUUGAAA
rnacentral:lncRNA from 1 species